rnacentral:lncRNA from 1 species
UAACCAGAACAAAAAACAAAGAUUAAAGGACAAUAAAAAGAAUAAAGCUGGAGAAAGAGAGAAAUAUAUGGGUUUUAGUAUUUUACCAGUUUCUAAAUCCUAAUUUUGGUUUCAAUUUUUUUUUAUUGUCUUCUCAUUUCUUUUCUACCUAACAAGUUUGACAAAGUGAUUAGACAGAGGAAACAAACAAGAUGAAAAAGAAAAACACUCAACACAAAUAAGAAGAAAAAAGGAGCUUUCAG